rnacentral:lncRNA from 1 species
UCCAAAGUUCGUAAGCUAUAUGGAUGUUUCUCAUAAUAACCGGUUUCUGAAGACAUUAUUACCGAGGAAAUAUAAAUGCGGCACUUGCAAUAAAACCUUUCCGACUUACCAAGCCUUGACCAUGGGGAAUAAAUAUGCAUCAUCUUCACAUACCGCAGCUUCUGAGGAAGAAGGCCAAGCCCUUGGCACUUCCAAGCAUGCCAAGCAGGUGGUGCAAAAAUCCCACAAGUGCCGGAUCUGCAACAAGAGCUUCCCCACGGGUCAGGCUCUUGGGGGCCACCAGACAACUCACCGGCCGAAGCCAGCCCAAUUAGCUACAACCAAGCAAGAAGCCAGCCAGAAUGCAGGUCCAAGAGUUUUGGAUUUUGAUCUCAACGAGCUUCCCCCAAUGGAAAAAGAAUGAAGGUGGUGCAGUGUUCUCCCUACAAUUCAGUAAGUUACACUUAUUGAGUAAAGGCUUAUAGAUUUUGUAAUUUUCCUUAUGGGAUGAUUUUAUUGGUCCGAAUAGAAGUAAAAUAGUUUUGAACUCUCCCAGAUGGAACUGCUGAAAUUUAUUUGUCUUCUGUUGGAUUCAGCCCUAGAACUGAUAGAAUUGGUUUGGAAUGUAAUGGCUUUUGUACACAAGCAUCGUCUCCUAAAACAAUCAAUAAGAAUAAGAACAACCACUGGGGGGUGGUUUUGUGGCCUAGUUUCUGUGUACCUUACAAAAGUUACUUUUGUCUAUGUAUACGUAUAAUAUGAGAUAGGAUAAGAGAAAAAUUAUCAUAUCCUAUCAUCCUAUAUUUAAUCAAACAAUGGGAUAUAUUCUACUCUCUUUCUUUUAUUCCUUUGAUACAAAAUAUGUUAAUCUCUAUCUGCAUAUAUCAAAAAUUUAUUUCUUAUUAAUUUUUUAUUUUUUAAUAUACUCAUUUUACAAAAUAAUUCUGUUAUUCUAAAUUAAAUUUAUGAUUAAAAAUGAAAAACUAAAAAAAUAUUUAUAAAAUAAUAUUAAUAUAUAUAUAAAUUAUUUUUAUAUAUUAAAUAACAUAAUAUAAAAAAAUUUAUUUGUAAAAUUUAAAUAUUUUAAUCAUGAAUAUGGUUAGAUAUAACAAAUUUUUCAUUUCUUUUAAAUAAAAAAUAUUUGAUUGUUAUAUAAUUUUUAUUUUAAAUACUAAAAAUAAUAUAUAUUUCAUAUUAUUUUUUAUUCAUUUAAUAAAUAUAAUAUAAUAUAAUAUAAUAUAAUAUAUCACAUUGGAUACAUAUCAAGAAUAUCAUAUCUCAUUGGAAAUAAUAUCCUAUAUAGGAUAUGCAUAUCUCAUUUUAAGAUAUACUUAUCAUAUCUUGCCAAUCAAACGUAGUUUAGGUAAAAUCAAUUAGUAAUUAUAAUUGAAUAAAUUACAUUUAGCAAAUUGUUCAAGUUAAUAGAAUAAAAUACUGUUUUUUAGAAUUUCAUUAAAAAAUAAAUAAAUAAACAAAAGCUCUUAGUAAGUUGUUUUUUAAAAACACUUUUUAAAAAUAAGAAUAAAAAUUGUUUGAAUAAAUUAUUUUUGAAAAUAAUUGUGUUUUGAUUUUGUAAAAUAUUAUAAAUUUAAUUCAUAUAAUCUUAAUUAAAGUAAAUUUAAGUCUUAUUAAAAAUGAAAUUAAUUUUGUAAUUUUAUAUAUUUUUAGUUAAAAUGAAAAGUAAUAUUAUAAAAAAAUCAUAAAUUAUAUUUUUUUAAUAAAAAAAAUACUAUUUUAGCAUAUAUUACAAAAAAAAAAUGGAUAUCAAGGUACCUAAAAUAGACUGCUAUAUUGUAACACAUAUUUUUAAUUUGGUAAUGGGACUUAAAUUAUUUAUUUAUAUGAUUGAUUAUUUAUUUAUUUAUUUAUCCAAUUAUUAUGAGUUAGUUAAAAUUAAUUACUUAUUUAUAAAAAUAUUUACUUAUUUAUUGGAAAAUUGAUUUUAUCACCAUUACUUUUUUAAAAUAAUGAAUAAAAUUCUCAAAGGUUGAGUCCAAAAGGAACUCACAUGACUUUUGAGAAGAAAAAAAAAAAGACUCAAAAUCAUCUCUAUUAAUGAAUCGAGGCGAGUUUAAUAAUUUUAUUAAUUUUUUAUUUAAUUGAUACAUAUAAUGCAUAGAUUUGAGAAGAAGCGAAGAAAGUAGAGUUACCUAUAUGAAAUGCAUGAAAUUAAUGACAUCAAGGAAUUCGUCAUUUUUAUAUUCAGGAUUUCUCGAAAAAAUCUUCUAAGAUAUUUUGGAGUCUUUAUUUAAAGAAAAACUUUAUUCAAAUACAUUCAGUAGUAAUUUUAAAAAGUAUUUUAACUUUUAUAAUAUUUGAAAGAUAAAAAAAUUUAUAUAUCAAAAAUAUUAAAAACUUUUCUUAAAAUCAAUACCAAUCGGAUAUUUAGAAUGCGUUUGAAAGCGAUUUUAGAAAACGUUUUUAAUAUUUCUAAUACUUGAGUAAUGAAAAUUUUUAAAUAUUAAAAAUAUUAAAAGCGUUUCCUAAAAUCACUAUCAAACUGACUCUUAGUACCAUUGAAUUAAUAAGAAAUAAUAUUGAGAUAAGAUUACAUUAUAAAAAUAAUUAUUGUUAUAAUUUAAUACCCAAUUAAAUAUAUAAUUAUAUUUUAUUACUAUGUAAUCUUGAAAUUAAGGAAAGGAGAUUAGUAGGAAAAGAAAGUCUAUGGGGCCGUAGUUUAUGUUAGAAUUAGAAUUAUGAUAGGAUACGGCUGAGCAAUGGCAAAAAUAGAAACGGAUGAGCAAUGACAAAAAUAAAAACACUCUCCUCAUCAAGACUCCCUCUGCGCAUCUCUACAUUUUUCUCUUCUUUCCUUGACUUCUUUUUCAUUAUUUCAAUCUGCUUCUCACAACCCAAAACCAGUAGAGAUCAAAUUAGUCCUUGGUGGUGGGGUGUUCAGGCUCCAGUGGUUCACCGGAAAUUAGGAAGAUAAUCAAGAUUCCGAUGGGAGGUGGCGAAGAAGGUGAUGAUGUGAAAAGUAGAAGAGUAAUAGUGGAGGCAAGGGCAGUAUGCAACAUCAGCAGCAAAGGGUUGGGUGGUUCAAGAGUUUGGAGGGGUCAGACGAGAGCUCAACUUUAUGAUCAGCGCAACGGAGGCGGUGAUUCCAACAAGAUCAAUGUCACUUGGAACCUCCAGAAUGGAUCAGAGGGUGGUGUUGCUGAGAAUGGUGGAACUGAAGCCAGGUGCCCUGUUUGUUCCAGGAGUUUCCAUUCAAAGAAGGCCAUGCACGGGGACAUGAGGUGCCAUCCUGAGAGAGAAUUGAGGGGGGUCAAUCCCCUGCCCUCGACCAAGACUACUUCUUCCUCCUCUGUGUCGCAGGAAAUUGAUGGUUUGAGCCAUUGAUCCAUAACAUCGACUGUGGUUUCAUCUGAUACUAGUCCUUCUCAGCCUCCUCUACGGUGGACGAAUACUGGAAGGAGGGGCCAGAAUCGCAUCAUCAAAUUAUAUUCUACAUGGGGUUCCUCCUGUAACAUCAGUUCAUUGCAUAAAGGAACCUAAGGGAUUAUCCAUCAUAUAAAUGCAGGACUUGCAAAAAGGUCUUUCCGACUUACCAAGCCUUGAGUGAAAACAGGUCCGGCCAUUCUUAUAACAAGAAGAGUCUGGACAUGGAGAAUAAGUAUGUAUCAUCUUCGUAUACCUCAGCUUCUAAGGGAGAAGGCCUAGUUCCCACGGAUCAGGCUCUUGGGGGCCACCAGACAACUCACCGGCCGAAGCCAGCCCCAAACAUGAAGCAUUAAUGUUGUCUGCUGAAGAAGCCAGCCAGAGUACAGGUCCAAGAGUAUUGGAUUUGAUCUCAAUGAGCUUCCCUCAAUGGAAGAAGAAUGAAGGUGGUGCAUUAGUGUUCCUUUUUUUUUUCCCUAAGUUUUGAUAAUUCAGUGAGUUACAGUUCCUGGGUAAAGCCCCAUGGAUAUUGUAUUCUUAUAUAUAUUUUUUCCAAAUAGUAUGAUUUUCUUGGUCUGAGUAGGGCUAUAGUUUUAUGCUUUGUGUCAGAUGGGACAGCGGAAAUUUCUCUCUGAUGUUGGAUUCAGACCAAAAACUGUUAGAAUUCCUUCGAAAAGUUUUGGCUUUUGUGCAAGGAUGAAAAUAUCGGUAAUUACGGAUAUAUCGGUACUUCGAUUUUACAGAUAUAUCGGAUAUAUCGGAGAUAUAGUGGCGAAUAUUUUGGAAAAAAAUAUCGAUAAGCUUAAAAUUGUUAAAAACUCAUGAAAAUGUAAGGAAAACCUCAUAAUAAUAUAAUUAGAAGUAUAAUAGAUAUUUUAAAGUUAUUUUAUUGAAAAUUUUGAUAUAUGUAUAACAUGAUUUAUCAUAUUUGAUAAUAAUAUCGUAUGCAUCGAUAAAAAUAUGAAUUUUAUAAGUGUACAUUUAUUAUUAAAUUACACCUAAUAUUAUGAUAUUUGAUUAUAAUAUAUCUAAUUUUAAAAUAUAUAUUAGUAUUAAAAUAUGAUCCAUUUAAUUCAAUUGUAUUAAACAAUAUAAAAUAAUAUAUAUAAUUUUUUAAUAUUUAAUUAAUUAUUAAUGAUAUUAAAAACAUUAUGAAGAAAAUUAUAUAAUUUUUAUAUUUUUGGUAAUUAAUUAAAAGACUUUGCAUUUAAUUAUAAAAUAAUUAUAAUUAAUUUGCUCUGUAAAAUAUUCUUAUAUUUUCUUUAUAUAAUGAGUUUAAGUAUAUAUAUAUUUGUUGCAUAUUAUAUAUCAAAGGGCAAGUUAGCCCAAGUAGGCUUCAAAUCCUCUCGGCACCAAGCAAAUGGGAGUGCACUGUAGCGCAUAUGACUUUCGCUGACCUGCAUUGACCAUGCGAUAUAUCGCGAGAAAUAGGCUAUUUCUCACGAUAAAUUCUGAAAUAUUGUGUCGAAACCCUUCGAUACACGAUAUAUCGCCGAAAUAUCGCAACAUUUUCUUCCUUGCUUUUGUGCAUAUAUUAUCUCCUUCUAGAGUAUUUGGAGAGUACGCCAUUUAUGUAUAAAUUUGUGAUCUCUUGUAGCUCUCCUAUUGUAAUUUUUGAAAAGGAAGGGAAGGGAAGGGGUGGGGGGAAUUUCCUAGCUUCUUCUUGGAUUUUGAGAUUAAUGCUCAAUUAUUUAUUUACCUUUCACACUAAAAGAAUGACUAUUAGAAUACAUUAUUAAUUAGAUCAAAUUAUAUGUUUCUCCACGAAUGCUUAUACAUGUAGCUCAAAUGUAAGUUUGAUUUGCUUUUAUACAUGUAGACAUGUUACAUAAUUUAAAUUUAAUUAUUGAUCAUAGGCAAUUAAGAAGGACAUAAGGGUAGAGGUGUAAAUAAAGUCGAUUGUAUCAUAUAAAAAUAAAACCGAACCAACCAGAUUGUAAGUGAAAAAACCGAACUAAAUCAAGUCUUUUGAGGUCAAUUUGGUUCAAUUUUCAUGUAUUGAUUAAAACCCAUAUUAAUAGUUUUUUUUUAAUCCUAAAUCUAGUUGUAGAUUUGUGUUUGUUUUGAACCCAAAUCCCAUUAACUUGAGUUUAUAUUAAACUUUAAAUCUAAUUUGUUUUUCAAAUUAAUUGAAACCAACUUGAAUUUGAUAUUAAAAAUAUAUUAAAUACAUUUAGAAUUAAUUUGACCAUAAUAUAAAAACAAUAAAUUACUUUAAUAUAAUCUAAUAUAUAAAAAAUAAUCAAAUAUUAAACAAUUAUAUAUAAGUUUUAGAAUAUCAAGAAAAAUUGAAAACUAAACCAACAAGAUCAGUUUUCAAAAUUCUCAAACCAAACCAACCUUUUUUAUUUUUGAAAAUCGAAUCAAUAUGAUUGGUUUUGGUUAAUUUGAAUCAAUUUGUCGGUUUUUUUUUUUUGUUUUACUUACACCCCCUUUUGAUAAGGAUUAUAAGGUGAUAAGAUCACAUUAUGGACUUUAACUAGUCAAAUAAAAUUAAAAUAAAUCAUAUUUUAAACCUUUUCAUCAAAAUCAUUUGUCCAAUCUCAACUCACUAAAAUUAAAGCUCUUAAUUCAAUUCCACCUGCUCUCUUUUUCUUUUAUGUAAUAUGUAAAAAGAAUCAAUAAUUAAUGGUUAAAUAGAAAAAAAAAAUUAAUGCUACCACUAAAGAAAAAACAUGUACUUAAUAAUUUAAUUACAAAUAAUUUUUAUAAAUAUUUUGAAUGUUUCCAAUCAAUGGAAAGAAUUUUUAAUGUUUCACAUUGAAGAUCACCACUUGAAAUUAGGAUUUAAUUUGGAGUUUAGCACCAUUCACAAAAGCAGCUAUUUGAUUUCAACCCAACUUUAAUUAAUUAUAUUUAAAAUAUAAAAAUAAUUUUUGCUAUUUAAUACCCAAUCAAAUAUGCUAUACAAAUAUAGUAUAUUUUAUUAUUAUUAUUAUGUAGAGAAUAGAGCAAUAAUCUAAGGACAAUCUUGAAAUUUAAGGAAAGGAGAUUUGUAAAUAUAGAAACUCUAGCAUCUUGUUUUCAAAAAAAUAGAAACUAUUUUCCUAGAGAGUUUGUACCCCAUUGCCACACUUUUCCUUAUUUGCUCUUAUUUUCUGUUCUUUCCUUAAUUUCUACCCCUAAAGCACGGAGAGAAAAUCAGUAGUGGGGUACAUGCUGUUAAUUUUCUUCCUGUAAUAGGGUUUCAUGGCUGAUGAUGUACCUUGUGAAGCCGAAGAGAGGCAGAACUUGGCUCCCGGUGGUUCACCAGAAAAUAGGAUUUCUUUGAAGUUUAUCAACAUUCCCAAGGAAGGUGGAGAAGAAGGUUCUGAUAAAAGGGGAGGAGUGAUAAUGAAGGCAACACUCGUAUGCAGCUUCAACAGCAAAGGGUUAGGUUGUACAAAAGCUUUGAAGGGCCCGAGGAGAGCUCUCCUUGAUGAUCAUGGUAACUGGGGCAGUGAUUCCAACAAGAAUGCGACUUCAAACCUCAAGAAUGGAUCGGAGGCUAGAAGCAAAGCCAUGUGCCCUGUUUGUUCCGAGGUUUUCCAAUCGAAGAAGGCCAUGUACGGGCACAUGAGGUGCCAUCCUGAGAGAGAAUGGAGGGGGAUCAGUCCUCCACUCUCGGCCAAGACUGGUUCUUGCUCCACUGUGUGGCAGAAAAAUGAUGAAUUGAGCCCUUCAGCCAUGAAAUCAACUGUGGUUUCAUCUGAUACUAGUCCUUCUAAGCCUCUUCUGCGCUGGACGAAAACUGGAAGGAGGGGGCAGAAUCACCCCUUGAGCUCAUCUUCUACUUCUGUUUCGUCCAGUGAUCUCAGUUUAUCGCAUAAAUAUGGAGUUAAGAACAAGAAUCAAGUUUCUGAAUGUUCAGGAGAGAAGAAGAGGCAAAAAGUUGAGGUGUUACAACUUGGAAGCUUGAGAAAUUAUCCAUCAAAAGAAGUGAACAUUGAUGGAAGAGGGACUCUGAUGCUGAAAGAGAAGGCUUUGAUAGACACUGAGUUAGGUCCCAGACAAGCAGGCCUUGACAACAACAUAGGGGAGGAAUCAGGUAGCAAGAACACUACUGAUAGAAGCAAAAACGGAAACAAGCUCGAUCAAGAAAUAGUAAGCGAGUUGCUUCUUGUGGCACCCAGGGAGUAUAAGUGCAGCACUUGCGAUAAGAUCUUCCCAACUUUCCAAGGCUUAGGUGGACACAGGUCUAGCCAUAGUUAUAAAAACAACCUCCAAUCGAUGGAUACCGGAGAAGAAAAGUCUAAAGAAGGUGGCUCCAAGGCGGUGGUAGAUGGGUUCAAGUGCAAUAUUUGCAGCAAAACCUUCCCAUCCGGUCAGGCUCUUGGAGGCCACAAGAGGAUUCACUUUCAAGGAUCAACCCAAGCAGCACCCAGACAAGGCUCGGCCUCUGGAAAAUCCAGCAAAUGUUUGGGAGAUAAAGUGCUAGAUUUUGACCUCAAUGAGCUUCCUCCAAUGGAGGAAUGAGGAUUAUGGAAAAGUUGAAUCAAUCAACUGACUUCAAUCAGUAUGUUUAAGCCAUUAGGUAGUGAACUGCUGCAGCUACCAAUGCAUCUUGCUCCUUUUAUAAUUCAGCCUAAGUUUUUUUUUUUCUAUAGACUGAUCAAUUAGUUGUAUGUGCUUGAUGAAGAAGAGUACUCUUUUUCAAUUUCCUUUUUUUUUUUUUUUUUUCUGUACACAAUGGGAUAAUUUUUGGUGUUCCAUCGGCCUUGAUGUGAAACAUCCCCUUAUGUUAUUUGUGGCCAAGUUUUGGUUAUUGGUUAAAUCUGAUUUGGAUUUUUAGGCUUUAAUUCUUAUUCUUUUUCUGAGUAUAUUAAUGUCUUUGAAGCUUUAAUUUGCAGAGGUACAUAUAGUUGAGGUUUUUGCAUAAGUAGUGAGGGAUAAGGACCUCCAAGAAGAGACCAGGAGGAGAGAGAGAGAGAGAGAGCCUUCCCAGUGAGCUCCUCCACAGGUGCUGAAAAUAGGAAUGCCUGAAAGAGGGCUUUACAAACGCUAAAUAAUAACUUCCCUGAAUCGUAUAGAGAGAGAGCCCCACAAUGACCUCCUCCUCUUGGUUUUGCUGAAGACCUCUCAGCUCUUUCAUUUUCUUAUUCUUCAAACAACUCUCAAACCCUUCCAGAAAGAAUCCAAAACCCUCCCACAGUGUACCAAAAAACUACCACUCUCUCUCUCUCUCCUUCUCUCCCUUAUCUUCCUACCGAAAACCUUAACUCUCUAAAACCUUAAACCCAAAAAGAAAAAAAAAUUCUAUUUUUUUUCGAAAGUAUAAAGAAACUAGCCAUAAGGCUUUGAUUUAAGGUUAAGUUUUUGAAUAACAACCUUUGGCUUUCUCAUUUUAUUAAACACUUUUGAAAGAGUGUGCAUAUGUGAUGAUACAAGGCUUAUAACAAAAUAUCACUUUUUAAGUACAAAAAUUGAUAAAAUAUUGCUUUCAAGCACAAUAAGAAGUGAUAAUAAAAAUAAAAAAAAAAGGAAAAAGGAAAGUUCUUGACACAGAUAUUACUUGCAACUAUGAAAAAGGUUUACGAUAAAAUAUAAUUUCUAACUAUGAAAUAACUGUGGUAAAAUGUCACUAUAAAAAAUAUGUAAAUGUGGUCAAAGUUUGGUCAUAAGUGCAAGAGUGAAUGUAUUUGGGUGGGUAUAAGGACAUUUUUAAGAACAAAAUUUUGUUUGAAAAUCCAAAUAUAAAAUUAUUCUUUUAACUUAUUCUCCAUCACAUCACUAAUAUGCAUUUAUGCAUAACAUAAAAGUUUUUAGGGGGUUUUGUGCUUCCUAUAACUUCACUUAGCUUCUGUCGGUUCAAUAAGUUUUGUUGUAUUGAGCACAAUAGGAGAGAUCAUAUACGAACCCAUCUAUAGUUGUGAAAGUGAUUUGUACUUUAGUUUAAGCCCUUUAUCUACAACUCCCUUUACUUAAUCUAAGCUUUUCGUGCUUGUAUUGGGCUUUCCUUACAAAAACAUUACCUUCUUAAAUCACUCUAAGUAUAACACCUUGAAUUGUCUCUUUGUCUUCUCCCUAUGGAUAGAGUAAUAACAUUAAAAGAGGUCAUAGCCCUUUUCUUACUAUACUUAUAGUUGAGUAAGGACUUUAAGCUUCUAGUUUGAACUAGUAUGCAAAAUUUAUGGUUGAUAACGUAAUGAAAGGGGAGGUCCCAAAUGACACAUGCACAGUCGGACUCUAUUUCUGAUCAAUCUAGUUGAUUGUGCAUAAGUUAGGCUUUCUGUUUCUAAAGUAGGAAGGGAGAAUCUGUGUUCUUGAUUUGGAAUCUAGGUGGGAUAGUGAUGGUAAGGAAGGAGCAAUUUAGGGUUAGGGGUCUUGCAUAUGAGUAUCACCAUUGUAAAUAUGGAUAAUUCUUGGCAUGUAAUUGGGUAAGUCAAACUCAAAAUGGUGCAAGUGUAACAUGUAUGAACUACACGGCUCAAAAUAAAAAAGGAAAGUGCAUUCAAUGAGAAAGAAUCAUGACAUGAAAUAAUGCCUUAUUAGCUUAGCCUUAGUUCAAAAAGCAGGUGAAAUUAUGUGAGAGAAAGAACCUCUUGGCGGAGUCUCCCAGAGAAUAGAAUAGCACUACUUAGUGACUAGGAGCAAAGAGUUUGUUGCACGUUGUGCUUUUUUUUUUUUUUUUAUUGGCCUAUGUUCUUUCUAUAAACAAGCUCCCUUCAGUCGUCCAAUCCUUGGAUGGUUCUUGGUUCUUGAACAUGUUGGGAGAAUAGACAGCAAUUGAAAGAGUUGCUCAAAAGCUUGAUGAACAAGCGAAAAAAGCCCUAGCUCUUUUUUUUAGUAAAGGGUUUUUCCCUUACUAGUCAAGUGGUAAGGCUACCCUACUUAGACUUAAUCAAAGUAAAUGAGAGAAAGAGAGAUGGGACAUGAUCUAGAGUAUAAGAAGGAAGGGAAGAAUUGUAGAUAGAUAGUAUAUUUGAAGACAAGGUUUGGAAUCUAUAUUGAAUUGAAUGGAUGAGGAAUUGACAUGCAAGUCAAGGCUUGACCCUUACCAGUGAAGAAACUUGUUCAAUCUAAUUAGUAAGCUCUUGGAUUCCUAAGGCAAUGGGUAAGGAUUAUCCCUAAGACUAGACUCUUGAUUUUCAUUUCCCAAUCCCAAGGUAGGAAUGGAUGAGAGUAGUCUAUCUCUGGCUAGGAUGAGUGUAGUCAUGGGUUUUUUUACAAGACUUGAAAAGAAUUCCACAAGCAAUCUUUGAAAUGGAAUAGGAAAAUCUCGAAUGGGAUCAAAGGCUGAGUUUAUAUAAGAGCAUCCGCCUGCUCUCAAUCUAAAGGUCGUAGGAAGAGCAAUGCAAUUGAUUUGGGAUGGUGAAUGUAUAUAUUCUAAAAGUUAUGAUAAUAUAUUACAUCUAAAAUAAAAAAAAUAAAAAGAUAAAAAAAUUAAUUUAAAAUAUUUGCUUCAUACUUCAAAAUAGAAGGAAUUCAUAAAAGAAAACAUAUUAAAAGAUGUGAUACAAAAAAAAAAAAUCUUUAAUUCAGAAGAUUUGAGUUCCAUUAAAGUAGAUGUUAUAAGUGAUAAUUUAUCUUUUAAAACAUUGCCCUUAUUUAUCUGUCUUGAUUAUAGAUAUCCUCAAUGUUUGAAGAUUGCUUUAUAUAUUACUUCAAUUUUAUCGAACUUGUUUGUGUUAUCCAAAUACACAUAUUCAUCAAUCAAACAACCCAAAUAAUGCAAAAAAAUAUAAAUAAUAAGAAUGAUUUGUAUAACAAAUAUUGUGAUGAAAAAAUAUGGUAGUGGUGUUAGAAAGUUAAAAUAAAGAAGAUUUAGAUAGUGGAUAUGAUUUCAAAGCAUGUUUUGUAUUUUUUGAAUUGGAUGUCAUAUUAUAUCAAACAAUAAAGUUUGUUGUCAAACAUUGCUUCACUUUCUUUUAUACACAACUUAAAAGUUUUUACUUUAACAAACAAAUUGGAGUAUCUUGUUAGUAUCCUUUUAUAUAAUAUCUACUAGAUUUUUUUUUUUUUUUUUUUUGUGGUAGUAUCCUUUUAUAUAAUAUCUACUAGGGUUUUUUUUUUUUUUUCACAUGUCCCAUAAAAUGUGAUAUAAACCAAAUGAAUGUCCUUAUAAAAUAAUUUUGCAACUAUUUACCAUUAAUGUCCUUAUAAUAUUUUUCAUCACUGCCUAUUUAAAAUUUAUAAAGAAAGGACAUUCGUACCUAUAGAAACUUUACAUGUUUGUUUUAUGUUAGGAUUCUAAUAAGAUACGAUAAAGAGGAAUGGUAGCAAUAAAAGAAAAAUGGAAACCAUUCUCUAAAGAGUUUCUAUGUUAAUCUUCACGUCUUUCCUUAGUUACCAAUAUUUACCAGAAAAUAGGCUUUCUUUGAAGUUUGUCAAGAUUCCUAUGGGAAGUGGCCAAGAAGCUUAUCAAGUUAUACCUUGUGAAGGCAAAUGAAUGCAAAUUUGAUAUAAAUGUAACAUAAAUAAUGGGAAUGAUUUGUAUAAGGACUAUUGUGAUGAAUGAGAUGGUAGUAAUGUUAGACAAUAAAAUUAUGGAAAACAUAGAUGGUGGGAAUUAUUUUAAAGCAUGCUUUGUAUUAUUUGUAUUGUACAUUUUGUUAUGUCCAACAAUGAAGCUUUUUGUCAAACUCUUUUUCCUACAUCUUUUAUAUAAUUUUUCUUCUAGGUUUUUUUUACAUAUUAUAUAAAAUGCAAAAUAAACUAAGUGAAUGUCCUUGUAAAAUAAUUUUACAACUAUCUACCAUUAGCAUAUAUCUUGACAAAAAUAUUUCCCACAACUACCUACCAUAAAUUUACAAGGACAUUCGUACCUAUAGAAACUCUAUGGGCUUAUUUUAUGAAAGAAUUCUAAUAGGAUACAAUCAUAAGGAAUGACAGCAAUGAAAGAAAAAUAGAAACCAUUCUUUAGGGAUUUUCUAUGUCAUCUCCACAACUUUCCUUAUUUACCAAUAUUCUCUUUUGUUCCUUUAUUUCUUCCUCGUAUAUCUCAAUGCGCUUCUAAGUUCUCACAACCCUAAAGCACUAAGAGAACUUGGCCUUGGACGAUUGACCAAAAAAUAGGCUUUCUUUGAAGCUUAUCAAGAUUUCGAUGGGAGGUGGCGAAGAUGCUUUUAAAUUGGUACCUUCUUAAGGCAAAGGAGUUUAAAUUUGGUAUAAAUAAUAGGAAUGACUUGUAUAGUAAAUAUUGUGGUGAAAAGAGAUAAUGGUGAUGUUAGAAAAUUAAAUUAAAGAAGAUAUAGAUUGUGGGAAUGAUUUUAGAGCAUGUUUUGUAUUAUUUGUGUUGAAUGUCUUGAUCGGUCAAAUAAUAAAACUUGUCCUCAAAUGUUGUUUCCUACUUAUUCUGAUUUUCUUCUUAUUAAGGGUUUCAUGGCUGAAGUUGUGCCUUGUGAAGGCAAUAGUGUUGAAAAUUAAUAUAAAUAAAAUAUAAAUAAUAAGAAUGAUUUAUAUAAAAAAAAUAUCGUAAUAGAAGGAAUGGUAGUAAUGUAAGAAAUUCAAACUAAGGAAAAUAUAGAUGUUGGGAAUGAUUUCAAAACAUUAUUUGUGUUAUUUGUGGUGGAUGUCUUGUUAUUUCCAAUAAUGAAGCUUUUAUCAAACUCUCUUUCCUACAUUUUUUUAAAGAAAUCACUUCAAUGCACAAGAUGAACUAGUUGAAUCUAUUUCACUUUUCUUUUGUGUACAACUUAAAGGGUUUUAAUUUUAACUAACAAAAGAUUUUCUAUGCCCAUAUCCACAACUUCCUUAUUUACUAAUAUUUUCUCUUUCUUUCCUUUGUUUCUUCCUUGUAUAUCUUAAUACACUUCUUAGUUCUCACAACCUAAAGCACUAAGAGAACUUAGCCACCCGGGAUUCAACAGAAAAUGGGCUUUCUUUGAAGCUUAUCAAGAUACCGAUGGGAGGUGGCUUUCAAAUUAUACCUUUUGAAGGCAAAUGAGUUUAAUUUGAUAUAAAUAAAAUACAAAUAAUAGGAAUGAUUUGUAUAAUAAAUAUUGAGAUAAAAAGAGAUGGUGGUGAUGAUAAAAAAAAAAUUAAAUUAAAGAAAAUAUAGAUGGUUGGAAUGAUUUAAGAACAUGUUUUAUAUUAUUUGUGUUGAAUGUCUAGUUAUUUCCAAUAAUGAAGCUUGUUGUGAAAUAUUAUUUCCUAAAUAUUAUAGUUUUUUUCUUGUCUUUGUGAAGGUAAAAGAGUUGAAAAUUAAUAUGAAUAAAAUGUAAAUGACAUGAUUGAUUUAUAUAAUAAAUAUUGAGAUGAAAAGGAACAGUAGUAAUGUUAGAAAAUCAAAUUAAAAGACAUAUAGUUAGUGGGAAUGAUUUCAAAACAUGUUUUGUAUUUUUAGUGUUGGAUGUCUUGUUAUGUCCAACAAUGAAACUUUUUGUCAAAAUCUCUUUCUUACAUCUUUUCUAAGACAUCGCUUCAAUAAACAAGAUGAACCCAUUCAAUCUCUCUUUACUUUUCUUUUUCCUUAUUUUUAUUUUUAUUUUUUUAUUUUUUUUGCACAACUUAAAUGAUUUUAGCUUUCAUAAACAAGUUGAAGUAUCCUGUUGCUUAUUGUUUUGUGUGGUAAUAUACUUUUAUAUAAUUUCUCUAUUAGGUUUUUUAUACAUGUCCUAUAAAAUGCGAUAUAAAUUAAAUGAAUAUCCUUAUAAAAUAAUUUUGCAAGUAUCUACCACUAGCAUAUAUCUUACAAAAAUAUUUCCAACCUCUCUCUACCUACUUAAAAUUUUUAAAAAAAAUAGGACAUUUGCAUUUAUAAAAACUCUACAUGCUUGUUUUAUAUUAGAAUUCUAAAAAGAUACAAUGAUGAUGAAUGGCAACAAUGAAAAAAGAAAAAUUUAAACCAUUCUCUAUAGAAUUUCUAUGCCCGUCUCCACACCUUUCAUUAUUUACCUAUAUUUUUUCUCUCUUUCCUCAAUUUCUUUCUCGUAUAACACAAUACAUUUCUUAGUUCUAACCACCCUAGAGCUAUAAGAGAACUUGGCCCCCAGUUGUUCAUAAGAAAAUAGGCUUUCUUUUAACCAUAUCAAGAUUCUGAUGGAAGGUGGCAAAUAAGCUUAUUAAGUGGUAAUUUUUUUAAGGCAAAUGAGUUGAAAUUUGACAUGAAUAAAAUAUAAAUAAUAUGAAUGAUUUAUAUAAUAAAUAUUGUGAUGAAAAGGGAUGGUGGUAAUGAUAGAAAAUUAAAUUAAAGAUAUAGAUUAUAAGAAUGAUUUCAUAGCAUGUUUUAUAUUAUGUCUGUUGGACAUUUUAUUAUGUCCAAUGAUUAGGCUUGUUGUCAAACUCAUGUCCUUCAUAUUCUUUGUUUUCUUCUUGUUAAGGGUUUCAUGGCCAAAGUUGUGCCUUGAGGCAAAAAAAAGUUGAAAAUUAAUCUAAAUAAAAUAUAAAUAAUAAAUAUUGUGAUAAAAAUGGGUGGUAGUAAUAUUAAAAAAUUGAAUUAAGUAAGAUAUAGAUGAUGAGAAUGAUUUUAAAGUAUGUUUUGUAUUAUUUGUGUUUCAUGUCUUGUUGUGGUUCACUAGAAAAUAUGUUUUCUUUGAACCUUAUCAAGAUUUCAAUGGGAGGUGAUGAAGAAAUUUAUCAAGUUAUAUCUUGUGAAGGCAAAUGAGUUGAAAUUUGAUAUCAAUAAAAUAUAAAUAAUAGGAAUGAUUUGUAUAAUAAAAAUUGUGAAAAAUGAGAUGAUGGUGAUGUUGGAAAAAUAAAUUAAAGAAGAUAUAGAUGGUAGGAAUGAUUUCAAAGCAUGUUUUAUAUUAUUUGUGUUGGAUGCCUUGUUAGGUUAUAUAAUGAAGCUUGAUGUUAAAUGUUGUUUCCUAUAUCUUCUAGUUUUCUUCUUAUGAAGAUAAAAGAGUUUAAAAAAAAUGAUAUAAAUAAAAUAUCAAUAAUAUGAAUGAUUUAUAUAAUAAAUAUUGUGCUAGAAAGGAAUGGUAGUAAUGUUAGAAAAUAAAAUUAAGGAAGAUUUAGAUGAUGGGAAUGAUGUCUUGUUACGUCUAACAAUGAAGUUUUUUGUCGAACUCUCUUUCCUAUAUCUUUUGUGACUUCAAAACAUAAUAUGAACUAGUUGAACCUAGCUUCACUUUUCAUUUGUGUACAAAUUAAAAGAUUUUAACUUUAACAAACAUAUUGGAGUAUCUUGUUGCUUAUUACUUUAUAUGGUAAUACCAUUUUAUAUAAUUUCUACUUCUAGGGUUUUUUACAUGUUCUAUUAAAUGUGAUAUAAACUAAAUGAAUGUCCUUGUAAAAUAAUUUUGAAACUAUCUACCAUUAAUAUAUAUUUUUACAAACAUAUUUUGACAAUAAAAUAAAAUUUGUGGCAAAAUAUGUUUUGCUAUAAAAAUAUUCAUAAAUUUGUGGUGUAAUACAUUUUGCUAUAGAAAAAUACACAUGACCAAUAGUCACAUUUCAUCAUAAAUAUAUAUAUGUGGCAAAAGUUCACAUCCAAUAUAAAAAUUUAUAACAAUUUCUCUAGUUAUCAUAAUAAACAUCACACUAAAAUGUGAAGUAUUCACUAGACUUCGUUAUUUCUUAUUUUUUUAUAAAGAUAUUUCUUGAUCUAUUUAUGAUCAUAUUAUCGUGAUAAACUAUAGCACCACUCUAAGCAAAUGAUGCUAUCAGGAAGGUAUGAUUUAGCAUCACUCUAAGCCCAAAUAGCUAUGUUUUCUAAUAAGCAAGUGGAGGACACUUUGACAUUUAAUUAAGUAAUCAAUGGAUUUUGGGCAAAUGAAUACGACACAAGGAAAACCACAAGCAAUGGUAUGAUAAAGAUUGAAUAUAAAAAUGUACAAGAAAGACAAUGAAAAUUACACAAAUCGACUUAGAGUGUGUUUGACAAUAUUUUUUAGUGCAAGUGUUUUCUCUGGAAGUGUUUUUAGGCGAAUCAUCUAUCAAGCAUUUUUCUAGAAAACAUUAUAAGUAAUUUUCCAAUCAUAUAAAUGUUUUUUCAAAUUUUCAAAAGUGUUUCUUAAAUUUUGUCAAACACCUAAUAUUUUUCAAAAACACUUUUUAGACUAAAAGCGCUUUCUAGAAUCACUGUCAAACAAACUCUUAUUAAACUAACUAAAAAGAUGAUUUGACUUUCACAAUUCAACACAUUUUUAGAAUAAUUAAUAUAUAUAUACACACACAUUUAGAUCUCCAAUACAAUAAUUUUUAUAAUUUUAUUUACAAAAAAUAAUCCCAAUCCAAUUUUAUGUACAAGAUAUCAUUUCACAAUUUUUAUUAAAAUUUUUAAAAAUUAAAAAAAAAAAUACCUUUUAGAAUUUGAUUUAAAAAAUAUUAUUUUUACAAAUUUGUUUAAAAAAUUAUUUUUAAAUUUAUUUUAUUUACAAGUCUAAUGAUUGGGAAAGUAUUUCUUUUAGCAAAAUUAUUUAUGAAAUCAAAUUGCUAUAAUACGAUAAGCAUGAUAAUGAAACAAAAUGAAUUGAAUGGUCUAAAUGAACCAAAGAGCCUAAGCCCAAAGCAAUACCGAUGUAUCAAUUAAAUUCAUCGUGUUCAAAUAAAUCAAAUGAAAACCCAACCCAAAGACAAAGACUUAAGGCCCAAUAGCAAAAUCUAAGUGCCAUUAAGCUCUGGCUGACGUAGGUCCAUAAGCAUAAAUCAAUGAAUGAAAGCCCAAAUAAAAGCCCAUAAACAGCCCAAAUCCUCAAACUAACAUUGUAGAGAUGAAACACACUUUUAAACCUCAAUCAAGAGUGAAACGUCAACCAUGGUUGGAGUCUUGGAAAGGACAGUGGUGUAGACUGUGGACAUGGGGUGGCUCCGUGAUUGACGUGUGAGGGAGUGGCGGCCACUAGCGAAACGUGACAAUGCGAGCAAUAAGGAAGAUGGUGAGAGUAGGGAAUGGCGUGGAGAGAAUUGUGGGUGCGUGAGUGGUGUGGAGACGAGGUAUAUUGGAUCUAGAAAAUUCUUCGAUGGCAAUCACGUGAAGAAGGGGAUAAUGGUAGCGCUUUGAUGACAAGUAUGGUGGGCUCCACCGACUAUGCUAAGAUAGCGAGGGGGCGUUGGUCGUGGUAUCAGUGGCGAACGAGGUGUGGCGGAGAUGCGGCGCUACUGCGAAAGUGUGGAUGUGCAUCAGAAUCUACAAGCUUGCAAUGAAGAUGGAGGUACAGAGUGAUGGUGCAUGCCGCUUGGUUUCGAUGUGUCAUUCUGGUAUAAAAUUUUAGGAGGAUACUCUAUUUAACGUGAUAAACACUAUGGAGUUGGAUUUUAAUUUUAAUAAUUGAAUUAAUUUUUUGAUAUGAGGUAAUAUUUUUUUUUAUAAAAAAAUUAUGAAUUUUGUUAUUGGGAAAUAAAUAGGUGUUAUAUGUAUUAUUUGAAGUGUAAUUAUUAUUAUAAGUAUUUUUCUUGGUGGUUUAUGGAUUCCUUUUAUAAAAAAAAAAUUGUGAUGUUUGAGAUGAUUUAAUUAUAAAUAAAAAAAUCAUUGUGUUGAGUGUUAGAAAUUAUUAAGCUUGUCAAGAAUAAAUAAAGUUUAUAUGAUUAAGAUAUAAAUUGUGUUUUUGUUAAUAUAUAGAUUAUUGAGAAUUUUAUUUAAUGGUUGUGGUGAUUUAAUUGUAGAAAAACUGUUGCCUUGGGUAUUGGAAUGUUUUAGCAUGUUUGGAUUAAAUAAAAAAUUAUGUCCUACAAAAAUUGUGGAUGAUGAUAUGUAAAUUUAUUACAUUUCAUAUGCAUCAUGGUUGUGUGAAGGAAAAUGAAAAAGAAAAAUAUAUUGAAAGGUUUGUAUGAAAUGGCCAAAAAAAAAUGAUGAUAAAAGUAAAAGAUUCGUGAGAGACAUAUUAAAAAGGGAGUGAGAUCCCUAGUAUGAAAAAUACAGAAGCUUACCCUGAGAAUACUCCAAAUGAAGAGUAUAUUUGAAAACAGAUGCAUAUCUUCAGUGAAAGUCCAAGAAUAAGUGUACAUUUAUGGUUUAAAUGCUCAUUUUGUUUAUCCUUAAACCAUAGUAAUACCAAUUAAUCCCUUUGGGUGUAAGACACCCAUGUGAAAAUGCUCACCCCCUUUCAUCUUAAAACUUUUUAGAUACAGAUAUUAUUUCUAAAGACUAGCAGAUAGAGCAAGAAGGACUCCAAAUUGCCCAAGAAGGUUCUGAAGUAGUUAAAAGGGUUUUUAGCAUUUUUGCUUUGUUGGUGUGAAAAUAUAUAGGUGAUACCACCUCAUUGGUGGUGUCUUUCAUAUUUCUAUAAAUAAAUAAAAAUACAUUUUUAUAUUGUACCAUAUUUUUAAUUUGGUAAUGAGAUAGAUAAAGGAAAUUUUGAAUUUUUUUUUCCAAGAGUAUAUAUAUAAAUGAAAAUUGAUUAUUUAUUUAUAAGAUUGAUUAUUUAUUUAUUUUUCCGAUUAUUAUGAGUUAGUGAAAAAUGAUUAUUUAAUUAUAAAAUUAUUUAUUUAUUUAUUGGAAAUUUUGAUUUUACCACCACUUAUGUUUUUUUUAAUAAAAAAAUAAAACUCGGAAGUGAAUUAAUUUAUUCUUAAAUUCACAUCUUUACCACUUUCAUUGCUAUUUGAUCUCUUUUAUUCUAAUUAUAAUUUAUGAGAAUAUAUUGAUGAUUUAAAAUAUAUCUUUAAGGUAGUUUUAUCAAACAAUCUUAAUAUUUAAAGUAAAAAUUAAUAAAUUUUAAAUUAAUAAUUUAAAUAUAAUUUAACUUAAAGUUAAUUUAAGUUAUUAAGUAAUAAAUAUUAAGUUUUACCAAACACCUCACUUAAAUAAAAAAUAAAAAAUAAAAACAAGCCAUCUAUGUAUAUGAGAAUAUAUGUAUAUCAAUUUGAUGAUUUAAAAUAUAUCUUUAAGGUAAUUUUGUCAAAUAAUUUUAAUAUUUAAAGUAAAAAUUAAUAAAUUUUAAAUUAAUAAUUUAAUUAUUAUUUAAAUUAAUAAUUUAAAUAUUAUUUAAAUUAAAGUCAAUUUAAGUCAUUAAGUAAUAAAUAUUAAGUUCUACCAAACACUUCCCUUAUAAGGGAAAAAAAACAACCUAUCUAUUACUCUAAAACCGUAUCUAUUAAUGAAUUGAGGUGAUUUUAAUAUUUCAUUAAUUAAUGCAUGGAUUUAAGAAGAAGCCAGAAGAAAGUCAUGAGAAUUACAUAACUGAAAAACAUGAUGUUAAUGAUAUCUUGAAACUCGUCAUAUUUAUCCUCAGGAUUUCUCAAAAAAUCUUAAAGAGAUUUUCAAGUCUUUUAUUUAAGAACAAACUGCACAACAUAAAUUUAAUUAUUCAGAAUAAUAGAGUGGGAAAUAACUUAGUACCUUUAAAUUAAGAUGGAGAUUAGAUUAGGGGAUAAAAAUAAUUAUUGUUAUUAUUUAAUACCCAAAUAAAUAUACUAGUAUAUUUUAUUAAGGAAAGGAGAUCGGUAAGAAUAGAAACUCUAGGGCCGUAGGUUUCUAUUAGAAUUAUAUAAGAUAGGAUUCAAGAAAGCAGAAUAGAAACCAUUCUCCUGAUCAAAUCUUUCUCCGGCUACACUUCUUUCAGUCCACUUCUCACAACCAGGUUCCAGGUUGUUUUUUUGUUUUUUUUGUCAAGGGUCUGAUGGGGGAAGCUGUACCUUGUGACGGCGAAGAGAGGCAAGGUUUAGGCUCCGCUGGUUUACCGGAAAAUUGGCUUUCUUCGAAGCCAAUCAACACUCCGAUGGGAGGUGGCGACGAAGUUGAUGAUGGGAAAAGUAAUAGAGUAAUAGUGGAGGCAAGACUGGAAUGCAACAUCAGCAGCAAAGGGUUGGGUUGUUCAGAAGGUUUCAAGGGUCGGAUGAGAGCUCGCCUUGAUGAUCAGGGCAACAGAGUCAGUCGUUCCAACAAGAAUAAGACUUGGAACCUCAAGAACGGAUCAGAGGGUGGUGUUGCUGAGAAUAUUGGUGGAACUGAUCAAGCCAAGUGCCCUGUUUGUUCCAAGAAUUUCCAUUCGAAGAAGGCCAUGUACGGGCACAUGAGGUGCCAUCCUGAGAGAGAAUGGAGGGGGAUCGAUCCUCCGCCCUCCGCCAAGACUGUUUCUUGCUCCUCUGUGUCGCAGGGAAUUGAUGGUUUGAGCCAUGCGUCCAUGACAUCGACCGUGGUUUCAUCUGAUAUUAGUCCUUCUCAGCCUCCUUUGCAGUGGACGAAAACUGGAAGGAGGGGCCAGAAUCGCAUCAUCAACUUAUAUUCUUCUUCGGGUUCGUCCUGUAAUAUCAGCUCAUCGCAGAACAAAGGAAUUGAGGAAAAGCAUCAAGUUUCUGAACGUGCAGGCCUGCAGAAGAGGCAACAACUUAAGAUGUUACAAGUUGGGAACCUAAGGGAUUAUCCAUCCAAGAAGCUGAAAAUCCAUGAAAGAGGGGCUUUGGGGUUCAGAGGCCAAGAAGAUGCUGGAAACAAAAGUGGUGCUUCUUGGAAGGACUUUCUAAAAAUAGGGUUCAAUUUGGGACCAAAAGAAGUUGAUACGGACAAGAAGAGUAGUGAUGAUAGAAUUAUACCUGGGGGACAACUUGAUGAUCAGAUUGCAAAGAAUACAAAGAAGAGGACUCCAAAGUUCGUAAGCUAUAUGGAUGUUUCUGAUAAUAACCGGUUUCUGAAGACAUUAUUACCGAGGAAAUAUAAAUGCGGCACUUUUCCGACUUACCAAGCCUUGACCAUGGGGAAUAAAUAUGCAUCAUCUUCACAUACCGCAGCUUCUGAGGAAGAAGGCCAAGCCCUUGGCACUUCCAAGCAUGCCAAGCAGGUGGUGCAAAAAUCCCACAAGUGCCGGAUCUGCAACAAGAGCUUCCCCACGGGUCAGGCUCUUGGGGGCCACCAGAUAACUCACCGGCCGAAGCCAGCCCAAUUAGCUACAACCAAGCAAGAAGCCAGCCAGAAUGCAGGUCCAAGAGUUUUGGAUUUUGAUCUCAACGAGCUUCCCCCAAUGGGAAAAGAAUGAAGGUGGUGCAGUGUUCUCCCUACAAUUCAGUAAGUUGCACUUAUUGAGUAAAGGCUUAUAGAUUUUGUAAUUUUCCUUAUGGGAUGAUUUUAUUGGUCCGAAUAGAAGUAAAAUAGUUUUGAACUCUCCCAGAUGGAACUGCUGAAAUUUAUUUGUCUGCUGUUGGAUUCAGCCCUAGAACUGAUAGAAUUGGAUUGGAAUGUAAUGGCUUUUGUACACAUGCAUCGUCUCCUAAAACAAUCAAUAAGAAUAAGAACAAGCAUUGGGGGGUGGUUUUGUGGCUUCUGUGUACCUUACAAAAGUUACUUUCUUUUGUAUACGUAUAAUAUGAGAUAGGAUAAGAGAAAAAUUAUCAUAUCCUUUCAUCCUAUAUUUAAUCAGAUUAAACAUGUGAUAGUGAAUUAGAUAUAUUAUCCACUCACUUUCUUUUAUUCAUUUGAUACAAAAUAUGUUAAUCACGAUAGACAUAUAUCAAAAAAUUAUUUCUUAUCAAUUUUUUAUUUUUAAAUAUACUCAUUUUACAAAAUAAAUUUUUUUAUUAUAAAUUAAAUUUAUGAUUAAAAAUGAAAAACUAAAAAAAAAAUAUUUAAUUAUUUAUUUUUAAAAAAUGAUUUUACCACUACUUACUUUUUUUAAUUAAAAAUAAAACUCUAAAAAAUUAACUCGAGAAAGUGAAUUAACUUAUUCUUAAAUUCACGUUUUUACUUUAUCUUUUUACCCCUAUUAUCUUAAUUACUUUCACCAUAUUCAUUGUUUCACCCCCACUUUCAUUGUUACCUAUCUCCUUUGUUUUGGUUAUAAUUUAUAUAUAUAUAUAAUCAAACAACUUUAAUAUUUAAAGUAAAAAAUAAUAAAUUUUAAGUUAAUAAUUUAAAUAUAAUUUAAUUUAAGUCAUUAACUAAUAAAUAUUAAAUUUUACCAAACACCCCACUUGAAAAAAUAAAAAAUAAAAAGAAAAAUGACCCAUCUAUAAUGUUACUCUAAAACCGUUUCUAUUAAUGAAUUGAGGUGAUUUUAAUAUUUCAUUAAUUAAUGCAUGGAUUUGAGAAGAAGCCAGAAGAAGUUCAUGAGAAUUACAUAACUGAAAAACAUGAGAUUAAUGAUAUCUUGAAAUUCGCAUAUUUAUCCUCAGGAUUUCUCAAAAAAUCUUGAAGAUACUUUCAAGUCUUUUAUUUAAGAACAAACUUCACAACAUGAUUUCCUUAGUAGAUGCAACAUAAAUUUCAUUAUUCAGAAUAAUAGAGUUAGAAAUAACUUAGAACCGCUAAUUUAAGUUGGAGAUUAGAUUAGGGGAUAAAAUAAUUAUUGUUAUUAUUUAAUACCCAAAUAAAUAUACUAGUAUAUUUUAUUAAGGAAAGGAGAUCGGUAAGCAUAGAAACUCUAGGGCCCUAGGGUUUCUAUUAGAAUUAUAUAUAUCAGCAAAAUAGAAACCGUUCUCCUUAUCUACUCUUCCUCUGCCUACACUUCUUUCAGUCCACUUCUCACAACCAGGUUCCAGGUUUUUCUUUUUUGUUUUUUUUGUCAAGGGUCUGAUGGGGGAAGCUGUACCUUGUGACGGCGAAGAGAGGCAAGGUUUAGGCUCCGCUGGUUUACCUGAAAAUUGGCUUUCUUUGAAGCCAAUCAACAUUCCGAUGGGAGGUGGCGACGAAGUUGAUGAUGGGAAAAGCGGUAAAGUAAUAGUGGAGGCAAGACUGGAAUGCAACAUCAGCAGCAAAGGGUUGGGUUGUUCAGAAGGUUUCAAGGGUCGGAUGAGAGCUCGCCUUGAUGAUCAGGGCAACAGAGUCGGUCGUUCCAACAAGAAUAAGACUCGGAACCUCAAGAACGGAUCAGAGAGUGGUGUUGCUGAGAAUAUUGGUGGAACUGAUCAAGCCAAGUGCCCUGUUUGUUCCAAGGGUUUCCAUUCGAAGAAGGCCAUGUACGGGCACAUGCGGUGCCAUCCUGAGAGAGAAUGGAGGGGGAUCAAUCCUCCGCCCUUCGCCAAGACUGUUUCUUGCUCCUCUGUGUCUCAGGGAAUUGAUGGAUUGAGCCAUGCGUCCAUGACAUCGACCGUGGUUUCAUCUGAUAUUAGUCCUUCUCAGCCUCCUUUACAGUUGACGAAAACUGGAAUGAGGGGCCAGAAUCGCAUCAUCAACUCGUAUUCUUCUUCGGGUUCGUCCUGUAAUAUCAGCUCAUCGCAGAAGAAAGAAAGUGAGGAAAAGCAUCAAGUUUCUGAAUGUGUAGGCCUGCAGAAGAGGCAACAAAUGAAGAUGUUACAAGUUGGGAAGCUAAUUAGGGAUUAUCCAUCCAAGAAGCUGAAAAUCCAUGAAAGAGGAGCUUUGGGGUUCAGAGGCCAAGAAGAUGCUGGAAACAAAGGGGGUGCUUCUUGGAAGGAUUUUCUAAAAACAGGGUUCAAUUUGGGACCAAAAGAAGUUGAUACGGACAAGAAGAGUAGUGAUGAUAGAAUUAUACCUGGGGGACAACUUGAUGAUCAGAUUGCAAAGAAUACAAAGAAGACCCCAAAGUUCGUAAGCUAUAUGGAUGUUUCUGAUAAUAAGCGAUUUCUGAAGACAUUAUUACCGAGGACAUAUAAACACGGCGCUCGCAAUAAAGCCUUUCCGACUUACCAAGCCUUGACCAUGGGGAAUAAGCAUGCAUCAUCUUCACAUACCGCAGCUUCUGAGGAAGAAGGCCUAGCCGUUGGCACUUCCAAGCAUGCCAA